rnacentral:lncRNA from 1 species
AUUUCAUGUCAAAAACCAAUGUUCGAGUUUUUUUGUCUUCUCGGGCAAACAUCUCAAAUUCCUAGGGUUUCGAUUCUUCUUUGAAGUCCUCAAUUUUGUGAAGAAUAUUGAUAAUUCUAUGUUACGUAUGAUUACAUUGAGAGAAUUUGGUUGGGGGUUCGAUAUUUUACGAUUUCAGAAAUAUAAGUAUUUUGUAUUAUUGUAGACACAGAG